GCAGUGCAGUGGUGCAGUCAUGGCUCACCGCAGCCUUGGUCUCCUGGGCUCAAGUGAUCUUUCUACUUCAGCCUCCUCAAUAGCUGGGACUACAGGCACACACCACCACCCCCAGGGUUGAAGUGUCUUCCUGCAACAAUUGCCAAGGAACAAAAUUGUCAAUUUAUUAAUGAAACAUGACGUGUGUUGAACAAGACAAGCUGGGUCAAGCAUUUGAGGAUGCUUUUGAGGCACUGAGGCAACAUUCAACUGGAGAUCUUUAGUACUCGCCAGAUUACAAAAAUUACCUGGCUUUAAUCAAUUAUUGUCCUCACGUCAAAGGAAAUUCCAGCUGCUAUGGAGUGUUGCCUACAGAGGAACCUCUCUGUAAUUGGAGAACGGUAAUCAACAGUGCUGCGGACUUCUAUUUUGAAGGAAACAUUCAUCAGUCUCUGCAGAACAUAACUGAAAACCAGCUGGUACAACCCACUAUUCUCCAGCAAAAGUGGGGAAAAGGCAGGAAGAAGCUUAGACUGUUUGAAUACCUUCACGAAUCCCUGUGUAAUCCGGAGAUGGCACC
rnacentral:lncRNA from 10 species